CGCAUAUCAAUAAGCGGAGGAAAAGAAACUAACAAGGAUUCCCCUAGUAGCGGCGAGCGAAGCGGGAAGAGCUCAAAUUUAUAAUCUGGCACCUUCGGUGUCCGAGUUGUAAUCUCUAGAAAUGUUUUCCGCGUUGGACCGCACACAAGUCUGUUGGAAUACAGCGGCAUAGUGGUGAGACCCCCGUAUAUGGUGCGGACGCCCAGCGCUUUGUGAUACAUUUUCGAAGAGUCGAGUUGUUUGGGAAUGCAGCUCAAAUUGGGUGGUAAAUUCCAUCUAAAGCUAAAUAUUGGCGAGAGACCGAUAGCGAACAAGUACCGUGAGGGAAAGAUGAAAAGCACUUUGGAAAGAGAGUUAACAGUACGUGAAAUUGUUGGAAGGGAAACGCUUGAAGUCAGACUUGCUUGCCGAGCAAUCGGUUUGCAGGCCAGCAUCAGUUUUCCGGGAUGGAUAAUGGUAGAGAGAAGGUAGCAGUUUCGGCUGUGUUAUAGCUCUCUGCUGGAUACAUCUUGGGGGACUGAGGAACGCAGUGUGCCUUUGGCGGGGGUUUCGACCUCUUCACACUUAGGAUGCUGGUGGAAUGGCUUUAAACGACCCGUCUUGAA
rnacentral:rRNA from 1 species